CCUACGGGGUGCAGCAGGCGCGAAAACUUUACAAUGCACGAAAGUGUGAUAAGGGAAUCCUAAGUGCUCAGGCAUUGCCUGGGCUUUUGCCAUAUGUAAAUAGUAUGGCGAAUAAGUAGUGGGUAAGACUGGUGCCAGCCGCCGCGGUAACACCAGCGCUACGAGUGGCAAUCACGUUUAUUGGGCCUAAAGCGUCCGUAGCAGGUUUUGUAAAUUUUUUGUGAAACUGCCAAGCUUAACUUGGCAAUGUGCAGGAAACACUGCAAGACUUGAGACCGGGAAGGGUCGGAGGUAUUCCUGAGGGAGCGGUAAAAUGCUAUAAUCUCAGGAGGACCACCGGUGGCGAAGGCGUCCGACUAGAACGGAUCUGACUGUGAGGGACGAAAGCCAGGGGAGCAAACCGGAUUAGAUACCCCCGUAGUCC
rnacentral:rRNA from 1 species